rnacentral:rRNA from 1 species
UACGUAGGGGGCAAGCGUUGUCCGGAAUUAUUGGGCGUAAAGAGCGUGUAGGCGGUCCGGUAAGUCGGCUGUGAAAGUCCAGGGCUCAACCCUGGGAUGCCGGUCGAUACUGCCGGACUAGAGUUCGGAAGAGGCGAGUGGAAUUCCCGGUGUAGCGGUGAAAUGCGCAGAUAUCGGGAGGAACACCUAUGGCGAAGGCAGCUCGCUGGGACGUUACUGACGCUGGAGACGCGAAAAGCGUGGGGAGCAAACAGG